AGAUUUAAUCGCGGUGGUUACAC
rnacentral:siRNA from 1 species